CCCUGCCUACAGACAAUAUACUUGUAAGGCACUAAGUUCAUCCCAUCCCUCACUGCAUUGACUAUGCAACAUUCAGCAACAGCAUAGUAUGCGGUCUUCUCAUAUCGAGCAACAGGACGAUCAAUCAAAAUUACAGGCUCAUAAUUAGAAGUACCAUAAAUUUCAUUGAUUCUCUCGGCAGUUGAAUAUGUCUCCCUCUUUGCUUCCUGAACAUCCUUUCCAGAGCUACGAGCAGGAUUUACUAUUUGGACAAGAACAAGUUUACCCUGCAAAUCCUCUUGCUGCUGUAGAAGGUGUUCAAAAGCUAGUAAUUUCAAACUAAUACCUUUAAA
rnacentral:misc_RNA from 1 species